UGAGUUUGAUCCUGGCUCAGGAUAAACGCUGGCGGCGUGCCUUACGCAUGCAAGUCGAACGAAGCCCGGCCUUCGGGUCGGUGACUGAGUGGCAAACGGCUGAGUAACGCGUAGGUGAUCUGUCCCGAGGAGGGGAACAACUCGUGGAAACGCGAGCUAAUGCCCCAUACGCCCACCGGUUCAGCCCGGUGGGGAAAUGUUCCGGCGCCUUGGGAGGAGCCUGCGUCCGAUUAGCUAGUUGGUGGGGUAACGGCCUACCAAGGCAGCGAUCGGUAGCUGGUCUGAGAGGAUGAUCAGCCAGACUGGGACUGAGACACGGCCCAGACUCCUACGGGAGGCAGCAGCGAGGAAUCUUGCACAAUGGGCGAAAGCCUGAUGCAGCAACGCCGCGUGGGUGAUGAAGGCCUUAGGGUUGUAA
rnacentral:rRNA from 1 species